rnacentral:lncRNA from 1 species
UCGAACCAAUGAACUGGAACAGAAGAAAUACAGCAGCAUUAUUAACAGUUCACGAAGCAAGGAAUACACGUGGCACGCCUCUUGAUAUGCCGGAAUAAAUUAUCCGCCCUGGGAUAAACCAUGACAGGACUCGGACGAGAGCGUCGUACGGAACGCACCGCCCCGCUCGCAUGUGUAUGCAGUGCACAUAUAGUUACGCUGCCAUAAUCAUACCGCGGAGGAGGACUACGGUCUCUCUGACGAUCUGUAUUUAGAAUUCCCCCAUUGAAGCGACGGUCUUAGCCACGUGUUCGGCUGAUUCGACGCACACGUGGUGUUCUCCCACGCACACGGCUCACGACAGGAGGAAAGGACGGCUUCUUUAUAAAUUUGCGAUCGAUAGCGACGCGGCGGCUCGCGAUAACAGCGAACGAAUUGAGAAACAGUUCCUGCUAUAAAAUACUCUCUCUCUCUCUCUCUCUCUCUCUCGUCUCUUCAAUUUACCGCGCACAAAAAGCUCGAGUUAUAGAUCAAAAGCUUACCUGUGCGAUAUACGGCAUGAUGGAUUAUACAUGCAAUAUUGAUUGCAAGUUCGUGGUGCAAAUCGACAUCUACAUUUAUAGCUCACUAUUUCUAGCGUCGAUUUACUUUAACCGAUGAUUAAAACUUGUCGAUAAAAUUGCCAACAUUGAAAUAUCGUCAUCAAAGGAGAAAAAAGUUCAAAAUUUUGGCAAUUUUGACAAGUCUGAACCAUCGAUUAAAAUUAAUCGACGCUGAAAAUAAUCAUCCUAAAAACGCUAAGUGCAUUUUUUUAAUGGACACAUUCUGUGGUUAAUUAAAACUUCAAAUAAUAAAAUUACAUGCGCGUCGACCUCUCAGAUUUCGGGUUCCUUAGAUCUUACAGAAAUAAAGUUCAUCUUACGGGCUUAAUUCACAAAGUAGCACCAAGACGCGGUAACUUUGGCUGCUGCAUAGACGUGUCCCCUUUUCCCGGGUGCUCGCGUCAUUUACCAUCCUCUGCCACUAACGUCGCUAAAAUUAUUGUGGCUUUACUAGGACGAAAAAUCGUUUCGUCGAAGCGGAAAAACCGGAGCAAUACUCGCGGCGCUUCUCGAAUUAAACCGAUUGUUCGUCUCUUCCACAACAUCUCAAGGAAAAUUUAUGCCACGCCGACCGGCAGUGAAAAGCAGCAGAAAUCGAAUCGCUUUUUAAACAACGCGAAUACAUAAAAGACAUUACAAGACAGUCGAGAUCUGACAAUAAAGCUUCAAUAAUAAUUUUUGCUGACACAGAAAUUCGCAAUGAAUCCAGCACGUGUAACGCGAUCCACAUCCAGCCGUGUGCUAAGUUUGAAAACCGUCAAUAUUUUCACCACAAAGUUCUGGAAAGACUUCGGAAACGAGUCGCGCGUGUGCAUUUCAAAAUCGUAUCGUGAAUUCUGCAUCACAGUAAUGUUCUCACGUAUUCCGCGAUAAAAAUAAAAAAAUCUUUCAAAAGAUAAAACAACGUUGAAUCACCUUCUUCCCUCUCUAUUCACUCCAUCUCGAACUGUGCAAUUUUUUUUUUUUUUGUUUUCCAACGUGAAAGGAGUUACGGCAUUUUGAGACAAUUUUAGCGGUCGGAGCAAAUGUGACACAGUUGCAGAAAGGUAUUUCAGAAAACGAGUUCCAGAAAUGCUACGAAGCAUGCAUAUGACGCGUGCAUACAAUUCCGAGGAACCUACUUCGAAGAAGACAAACUGACGUUUUUGUAAUUUGGAAAGUAAAUUACUUUAUUAUUUAUUUCUGGUAUCCUUGUAAAAGAUGUUUU